CGAGAUGUAGCCCAGUUGGGUAGGGCGCUGCAUCUGGGGUGCAGAAGUCACAGGUUCAAGUCCUGUCAUCUCGA
rnacentral:tRNA from 1 species